CCCACAGGUCCCAUUCCCAUGCAGUGGGAUGACAAAAAGCCCCUCAUUUGGAGCUGCAGUAAUUAAUCACCAUAUACUACAGGUAUGGCAGCUAUUGUUAGCCAAAAGAAGGAUGGGCCAAGGGCAGGCACUGAUGCAGGAGGCUGGAAGGCGGAGGCCAGCUGUCCUGCUCUGAAGAGACCAUCAUUAAGAGUAAUGGAAGGUGGCCACACAGAAUUUGGUUCUUCUUAAUACUGUGUACACCCAGCCCUGGAACUGUGAUAUUUUAGGAACACAGAAAAACAACCCUUCAAUAUACUGCUUAAAAGUUCCUGGCUUUUCCCUUCUGGGCUCCCACUGAAAUAUACAGGAGGCAGCUUCCAUAUUUCCAAGGGUGGGGGCUUCAGGGGUUCCUCUCUGCCCUCUUAAUGCUCCAUUGGAGACCCUCCCUCCCCACAGCCUGCCUGCCACAGACUUUGCAUCUAAGGAGACCCUGGAGGUACCUUCAGCACCUCAUGUAGAAGCAAACCCAUCCAUUUCACAAAUGAGUUGGCAUCUGCCUCGCCAUUCCUCCCAUCUGACAACACCCCCCCCCAUCCUCAUUUCUGCUGAGGUUCUUCUUCAGGAAAAGGAGGAAUGAGGAAGCUGGUGCUUCUAUGGGUUUUCUUCAAAGGAGGAUGCAGCCAAAAAGGCUGCACUUCCCAGCAGCCCUCUUGUCUCGCCAAGCCCCAAAACUCAAAACUGCUCGGUAUGAAGGGCGGAGAGGAAGAUCCACUGUUAGCAGCUUGCAGUAUCUUUACCUUGGGAGGGUCCUGGCAGAUCUUAAAACCUCCGCCUCCACCCACGCAGUGAGGCCGACUGGAAGCCACAAAUGGAGAGAAGGAAGUAGCAGCUUUUGAACUAUUGCCAGUUGCCGAUGCAAUGCUGAGGAAAGUGGCUUCCCAGGGGAGAAGGGACAAGCGGGCCAAGGAGAUGAAGGAGAGUGAAGAAAGAAGAGUCCUUUGAACGGAGGGCUGCCCUAAAUUGUAAAGGAUUGUGAUCAAAGCUGCAAUGUGGCAGCUGUUUUAAAAACAACCCAAAUCAAUCUGGCAAGGUUAUCGCAAUGAAACAAAUGUUACAUGCUUUGUACACUAAUUAGAGCCUGUGGCUUUUCUUUUUCUUUUUUUAACAAUGGUGAUUUUUCUCCCCACUUCCCCCCCAAAGAAGGAAUAGCAGAUGGAGGGGAUAUAAGGGAAUAUUGGAAACUAAGAUAAUCAUGUUUGGUUUUGAAUUCGGGACGACUGAUGAUGGGAGAGGAAGACACUUCCACAGACACGGGAGGGAGAAGGACAUGGUCCAUAAUUUAAUCCCUCUUUGUAUAUGUCACUCCCUAGGAAUGGAUCAAAGAAACAUAGAAACUCAAGAUCAUGAUGCUAGAUUGAAUAGGGAUCGGAUGGCUAAAAAGAUCACCAAGGAAGCACAGGCUUUCUUUCCUAACUUGAAGUUUGAAAUUGUAGUUUUUUGUUAGGUAAGACAAUACUACAGCAGUGGAGUCAUUGUCUCAAUCUUUCCUAAAAAGGUAAAGGUUCCCCUCACACAUAUGUGCUAGUUGCUCCCGACUCUAGGGGGCGGUGCUCAUCUCCGUUUCAAAGCUGAAGAGCCAGCGCUGUCUGAAGACGUCUCCGUGGUCAUGUGGCCGGCAUGACUCAAAGCCAAAGGCGCACGGAACACUGUUACCUUCCCACCAAAGGUGGUCCCUAUUUUUUCUACUUGCAUUUUUUAUGUGCUUUCGAACUGCUAGGUUGGCAGAAGUUGGGACAAGGAACGGAAGCUCACCCCGUUAGGCGGCACUAGGGAUUCGAACCGCUGAACUGGCAACCUUUUGAUUGACAAGCUCAGUGUCUUAGCCACUGAGCCACCAUGUCCCUAAAUCCUGCCUGGGACCACACAAAUACAGGUCGUUCUCGACUUACAACAGUUCACCUGGUGACCGUUUGAAGUUACUACGGCACUGAAAAAAGUGACUUAUGACCAUAUUUGACACUUAUGACCAUCGCAGGAUUCUCCAUGGUCAUGAAAUUUAUAUUCAGAUGUUUGACAACUGACUCACAUUUAUGAUGGUUGCAGUGUCCUGGGGCGGGGGGUGAUGUGAUCACCUUCUGCAACCUUCUGACAAGCAAAGUCAAUGGGGAAACCAAAUUCUCUUAACAACUGUGGACUCAUUCGCUUAACAAAUGGACUCAAUUGUGGUCAUAAGUUGAAGACUACCUGUACUUUUAAGCUAGCUAUCCAUGUUUUAGACCAGAGGUCUGCAACCUUAAACACUCAAAGAGCCAUUUGGACUGUUUACCACAGAAAAGAAAACACCGGGAGCCGCAAAACCCUUCCUGUGCCUGACUAUUUCCUGAGCGGGCACAAAACUAGCAUAUGGAGUUGA